GACCAGCUAUGAGGAAAAGUAACGUCGACAUCCGUACCACCCAUACUCAAUUGUAAGUACCAUCGAGGCGUAUACACCCACAUACGGAGGAGAGAAGACAAGGAAACACCAAAUUCAGCCAAAUUCACCGCUGUAAUAUUGCGGUAGACCAUCCAGAUACGCAUGUGUCCACAAUGGGAACAUACUCAGCAGACAGGGGGAUGAUCUAUAUGAAUUACAUCCCUUCGCUGCUCCGCGGUUUUCACUUCGCAGAUAGAGCCAUAUCCUCCAGACUGGAUAUAUAUAUAUAUAUAUAUAUUAGCUGAUCUAUUAUUAGAAAAGUAACUUCGCAGG
rnacentral:sRNA from 2 species